GGGGAGAGUGAAGUCCCCCACUACGAGUUCCCCACAAUUGGGGAAAUCACAGGGGUCAGCACAUCCAGGGUGCAAUGGAUAAGCCUCACUCUGGGAAAACCACCUUAGUGAUCAUGGUAUCUCCCCCUCCCUGACAGUUA
rnacentral:snRNA from 1 species